rnacentral:siRNA from 1 species
UGGACCAUCUUGAUAGCUUUGA